ACAAGUAGAUAAAGAUGUGUUAUGUUUAGUUAACGGGACAUGCACAAAAGGAUUGCCUAUCACACACGCUAGGCAAAAAGUCUCGUAGAAACAGAUGUCUGUGGCUAGAAGAAAAUAAGGGAGAGAAUAAGAGAGCACGUCACCAAUUGACUUGAAAGCCCAGAGGGCGUUAUUGUGUGGGAAAACAUGGAUAUUGACUGCAAAGUGAUUCAGAAGACUUACACUGAAUGUGAAAAAGCUUGGCAGAACAACCUAGCCAAUUUAUUUUGCUGUUUUCCUUUUUAGAUCUGUAUAAGAGUGAUAUAUGUGAUAGAUGUUUAAAUUAAUCUAAAAGGGCUCUUUCAAUAAGGAAACUAAUUGAGAGAAGUAUUGUGUCAUAUUUUAAUUAGGAACAUUCUUUUUCCUUAACGAUAUGUCAAAUGAUGACGUAUCUUACAACGAAAGGCAUCUCAGAUUUAAAGAAAUACAAGUUUCACACACUUGACCACAAUUGCCUUUUCUCUCAGAGUUUAAAUUUCAAUAAUCAUUGUUUCACUCUGAUAAUUCCUAACAUUAAGGUGUUUUACAUAAAAAAUAAAGUUUUGAAUUUGUUGAUUCUGCUUUUUAAGUUCUACAUUUUUUUAGGUCUGCCAACUCCAUGCCAUUCAUCUCCUAAUAAGAAAAAAACCAGUUCAUCUGCUCUAGCCACCAUACUUUAGAAUUUAGAAAGUUAAAUAAUAGAGAAAAUAUCAGGAGAGAGAUGGAAAUGAGGCAGAAAGAGUUAGGUCCAGACUCUGACAGCUGUUACUUCCCCUUUUCCUGUUUCAAGCAAUGGCAACCGCAAAACAUUUAAAAAACCUAGUAGCUGCUUUCACAAUGUUAUUGUAUUUAAUCCUGAGAAACCGGUCAAAGAGGCAUUAUUCUCUCUUUUCGACAAAUGAAGAGAGUGAGGUGAGAGAAAUUAAAUAACUCACCCAAGAAGAACAGGGUCAUCCAUGCUGGGACCUGGAAGGAGACAUCACCGCAGCCCCACUGAGCCAGCCUCUUUGGAAGCGCAGCUCCGCCACGUGCAUUGCAACACACAGCUGGGGGCAGAUUGUCGGAAAGUCAUUCUUCAGAAUAAUCCAUGCACUGUCUUCCAUGGACCUGAAGGUCUUCAGCUGAGAUCACCCUUGCCCAUCCGGGCCCCUGAGUGAGUCCUGCAAGGUCCCACUUGUCCAGGACGGAGGUUCAGAUCCUCAUUUAAGGAGAUUCCUGAUGAGUCUGGGCUUUAUUCUGGAAUGGUCAUUAUAGUCUAACACAAAUAUGUCUGUGAACGGUAGCAAUAACGGGAAAUCUUCGCAGGGGACAGCAUACAGUGGCAUGUCAUGAAGACCACAUGUCGUGUGAUGUCACAAUAGGUUGCAUGUAGAAGCAGGUAUGAGAAUCCAGCUGUCUUCUAUCAAGCCAGACGUUAAAUAGACUUUCAAAAGUGUAAAACAAUGGCAUUCUUCUUACUGAUUUUUUUGUUUUGGAAAAUUAUAGUAUGUUUCCUAAAAUGAGUAAUUUAUGUUAGUAUGUAGUGGGUUUAUUUUUUAAUGAAUUAUUAAAAUACUUUAAAAGUUUCUGAGUUUUGAUUUCUAAUAUUGUAAAUAUCAAUAGAUAUAACUCACAUAAACAAAAGUUCUCUGGGGUUCU
rnacentral:lncRNA from 1 species